rnacentral:rRNA from 1 species
UUGGAGGGCAAGUCUGGUGCCAGCAGCCGCGGUAAUUCCGGCUCCAAUAGCGUAUAUUAAAGUUGUUGCAGUUAAAAAGCUCGUAGUUGAAUUUCGAGAUCAGUACGCUGGUCGUGCCUUCGGUAUGCACUGGUGUCACUGGUUUCUCCCUUCUGAAGAACCGUCAUGUCAUUAAGUUGGUGUGGCGGGGAAUCAGGACUGUUACUUUGAAAAAAUUAGAGUGUUUAAAGCAGGCUCGCGCUUGAAUACAUUAGCACGGAAUAAUGAAAUAGGACGUUUGACCCUAUUUUGUUGGUUUCUAGGAUCGACGUAAUGAUUAAUAGGGAUAGUUGGGGGCAUUAGUAUUCAAUUGUCAGAGGUGAAAUUCUUGGAUUUAUUGAAGACUAACUACUGCGAAAGCAUUUGCCAAGGAUGUUUUCAUUAAUCAAGAACGAAAGUUAGGGGAUCGAAGACGAUCAGAUACCGUCGUAGUCUUAACCAUAAACUAUGCCGACUAGGGAUCGGAUGAUGUUAAAUUUUUAAUGACUCAUUCGGCGCCUUACGGGAAAC